rnacentral:rRNA from 1 species
UAAGGGCGCACGGUGGAUGCCUUGGCACUAGAAGCCGAUGAAGGACGUUACUAACGACGAUAUGCUUUGGGGAGCUGUAAGUAAGCUUUGAUCCAGAGAUUUCCGAAUGGGGAAACCCAGCAUGAGUUAUGUCAUGUUAUCGAUAUGUGAAUACAUAGCAUAUCAGAAGGCACACCCGGAGAACUGAAACAUCUUAGUACCCGGAGGAAGAGAAAGAAAAUUCGAUUCCCUUAGUAGCGGCGAGCGAAACGGGAAGAGCCCAAACCAACAAGCUUGCUUGUUGGGGUUGUAGGACACUCUAUACGGAGUUACAAAGGACGACAUUAGACGAAUCAUCUGGAAAGAUGAAUCAAAGAAGGUAAUAAUCCUGUAGUCGAAAAUGUUGUCUCUCUUGAGUGGAUCCUGAGUACGACGGAGCACGUGAAAUUCCGUCGGAAUCUGGGAGGACCAUCUCCUAAGGCUAAAUACUCUCUAGUGACCGAUAGUGAACCAGUACCGUGAGGGAAAGGUGAAAAGCACCCCGGAAGGGGAGUGAAAUAGAACCUGAAACCGUGUGCUUACAAGUAGUCAGAGCCCGUUAAUGGGUGAUGGCGUGCCUUUUGUAGAAUGAACCGGCGAGUUACGAUUUGAUGCAAGGUUAAGCAGUAAAUGUGGAGCCGUAGCGAAAGCGAGUCUGAAUAGGGCGUUUAGUAUUUGGUCGUAGACCCGAAACCAGGUGAUCUACCCUUGGUCAGGUUGAAGUUCAGGUAACACUGAAUGGAGGACCGAACCGACUUACGUUGAAAAGUGAGCGGAUGAACUGAGGGUAGCGGAGAAAUUCCAAUCGAACCUGGAGAUAGCUGGUUCUCUCCGAAAUAGCUUUAGGGCUAGCCUCAAGUGAUGAUUAUUGGAGGUAGAGCACUGUUUGGACGAGGGGCCCCUCUCGGGUUACCGAAUUCAGACAAACUCCGAAUGCCAAUUAAUUUAACUUGGGAGUCAGAACAUGGGUGAUAAGGUCCGUGUUCGAAAGGGAAACAGCCCAGACCACCAGCUAAGGUCCCAAAAUAUAUGUUAAGUGGAAAAGGAUGUGGCGUUGCCCAGACAACUAGGAUGUUGGCUUAGAAGCAGCCAUCAUUUAAAGAGUGCGUAAUAGCUCACUAGUCGAGUGACACUGCGCCGAAAAUGUACCGGGGCUAAACAUAUUACCGAAGCUGUGGAUUGUCCUUUGGACAAUGGUAGGAGAGCGUUCUAAGGGCGUUGAAGCAUGAUCGUAAGGACAUGUGGAGCGCUUAGAAGUGAGAAUGCCGGUGUGAGUAGCGAAAGACGGGUGAGAAUCCCGUCCACCGAUUGACUAAGGUUUCCAGAGGAAGGCUCGUCCGCUCUGGGUUAGUCGGGUCCUAAGCUGAGGCCGACAGGCGUAGGCGAUGGAUAACAGGUUGAUAUUCCUGUACCACCUAUAAUCGUU